rnacentral:lncRNA from 1 species
AGACAUUGGCGUAAUUAUUCUAUCAUGUCUUGCGGCCUAGUGAAUGUUGGAUCGUUUUCUGAUGUGAAAUUAGUUACUGGUUAAUUCUUUUACCGGUAGUGAAAAUGUUGUUGUUAAUGUUAAAAUGGAAUAUUUGCCUCUGGUUAUCUGCCUAUAUUUCCUUUGGGUUCAUUACUCUGUGUUUUUCAUCAUUAAGUUGAUUCCCCUUUUGUUUAAGUCAAAAUUUUGGAUUAUAGCAUAUCUCAAAAUCACGGUAGUUUGAAGGUUGUUAUUCAAAAAUGACAAAUACAUGGCUUGAUGUGUAUGAUGUUGCUAUUAGAAGCUUAUUGCUCUUGUUCUAGUACAGUUCUGAGCAUGCUUCAUUAAUCGUUUUCCUUAAAAAUAGUUUCUAACAUCGUAAUUUCUCCAAUAUAGCUACACCUUUUAUGGUUUUGGCUAAAAAUGAUGUGUUUUGUUUUGUUAAGUUAAAAUUUGAUCUCUUGCGGGUUGUUUGAAAUUUCCCCUUCAUGUCCAUUUGAAUUGCUCGUUAUGCCGUCUUAGAUUGGUCUUUAUGCCUAACAUGGUGUUGAGUUUAUUGGCUUAAUGAUAGUAGUCUAGCAUGCUUGUUUGUUCACUGUGAUAAAUAUUAGGAGUAUUUAGAGCCUAAAUUAUUUGUUCCUGCAGUAUGUCUUUUCCAUGGGAUAAAUUUGAAAAUAUGAUAUUAUAGCAUGCUACAUUUUGGUUUAUGGUUGUACUUGUAUGAAUGAUAUUUUCUCCUAUUUGCACGGUUUAGUUCUUGUUGUGAUUAAACAUUAGUGGGAGUCAUUUUUGUUUUCUUCCUGAUGUUUAGGCUCUAAUACAAUGGUAUAAAUAUUCACAUCAAUACUCCUUAUAUUGGAUAUGUGGGUUGUCACUUGCGUAUUUUUAUUUUUUUUGUUUGUUUCGUCACAUGUAAAAUUCGCCUCGAGUCCUCAUGGGCUCCUCGCAUCUUCCUAUUGGGCCAUAGAGGCCCGGAAUUCUUUCUCUUCGAGUCAGUCAUCGUGGCGAAUUAAGGAAGCAGGUGUACAGGUCGAAAAAUGACAAAUAUGGGCUGAUAUACAGAUUGUGUAUACAUGUUAUACUCAUCAAAACGCAACAAAUGUAAAGCCAAAAAUUGAAACAGGUGUUUUGGAAGUUGAAUUAGGUUGUAUACCUUUGGUAUACAGUCUUAUACACAAAAAAAAUGGGCCGUAUUCAUCCGAUAUACACUGAUAUACAACCAGUGUAUACAAAAACGGGAAUUGAGCCUAGGUCCCAAAAUCCAGCGAAUUUGGCCCAAAAGGAGGCCCAAAUUCAAUUUCUCUCUUACUUUUUAAUUAUUUAAUUGUGAUUAUUUAUUGUUUGUUAUUUAACUCUAACUUUAUAAUUUUUUAUUUAGCUUAAUUAAAUCCCCCAAAAGAUGAACCAUAUUCUUUAUGUUAGUUUCUUUAAAAAUAAUUCAUUUUAUCAACUCUUAUGCUUAUUCAAAUAUUUUUAGUCAAAAACUUUCACUUAUCUUUAAUUAGAUUAAAAUAAUGUCUUGGUUUGUCUACCAAGUUGGUUCGAAUUAUUAUUUCUAAAAAAUGACGUAAAUAAAUUUUAUAUUUUUAGUCAAAACUUUCACUUAUCUUUAAUUAGAUUAAAAUAAUGUCUUGGUUUGUCUACCAAGUUGGUUCGAAUUAUUAUUUCUAAAAAAUGACGUAAAUAAAUUUUAAUUAAUCGAACUUUGUUAAGAUCCUAAUUGACCAAGUUGUUUCAAUUAAGAUCCAAUUUUUCCAAAAUUUUAAAAAUUAUUCUUUAUUUAACUAUUUUAUCAAAGUUAAUCGAAUAUCGUAAAAUAUUAUAUAUUUUUAUGUUAAAUCAUUUUCCUAAUUUUUUUUUUAAAAAAAGGAUAUGUUCUUUAGGGGUCUUCUUCAUUCACAUCACUUUUUUCACUCAUUUCAAUUGUUCUAAGUUAAAGUUUUUUUUCUAAUAAACUUUAAAAAAUGUUAGUCAAACCUUUUCAAUUGAUCAAUAAUAAUAAAAAAUAUAUACUUAUUUAAGUCAUUUUCUCAACAAAAAAAAAACGUUAGUCAAUCAAUUUAAAAUGAUUUUCAUGCUUUAAUUUAUUAAAUUGGUUAAAAUUAUUAAUUUAAAAAUAAAUUAAAUAAAUUCUAAUUAAUCUAGUUUUAUUAAUACACUAAUCACUUGUAAUUCAAUUCAAAGGUUUCAUUUUGAAUCUCAUUCUCUAAAAAAAAAAAUGAGAUAUAAAAUGUUCGUUAUUUAACUAUUCUUCAGAGUUAACUGAAUAUUGUAAAUUAUCAUAUUUUCUUUUAUGUUAAACCAUUUUUCUAAAAAUAGUCAAAAAUAUUUUAGUCAAGUCGCAGGUCAACCGCAUGUUAGCGGGCACUUCGAAUGCUUAAGCCCUUCUCGAAGUGGUAAAUUGAACCCCGAACCCUUUUUGGUAUUUUCAAAUGAUUUUUUCUGUUUAAAUCUUUGAAAAUUAUAAGUUUUCUUGAUUUCUUUAAAAAAUUAAGUGGCGACUCUUUUCUAAGUAUUUUUCUUAAAUUGUUUUAUACUUAGAACAUUUCAAAAAAGUGAUUUUUCUAGAAAUAGUCAAAUUACGGCACAUACAUAUAGAAUUACAAUAAUUAACAAAAUAAAUCUCUCGACUCCAACAAAUCUAUCAAUUAAUGCCACAUAAAUUGGGACAUGGCAAAUAACAUAUAUUAUUAAAAAAUUAGGUUCAAAAUGUACUAUAAAAUACAAUAAUUAACAACUUAAUAUAUUAAAGAGACAUAAAAAAGGGUUAAUAUUUUAAAUUCUGCAUGUGCCACAUAAAUUAGAACAAAUAGAUUAAUAAAUAUUAUUUUCAAAAUUAUGUUAAAAAAAGUACUACAAAUCACAAUAGCUAACAAUUUAAAAUAUUUUUAAAAUCAUAUAAAAAUUUCAAUAACUUCUCAAAUUCCAUAAUAUGACAUAAAUUUUAAAAAAAAGUGUUAUAAAUCAUAAUAAAUAGUACAAUAUUUAAACUACUUUAAAAGCAUUAUAAAUUGUAAUAAAUAAUACAACAAUUUAAAUUACUUAAAAUUUAACGACUUAAUUUUUUUUUUUAAAUGUAUUAAAAUUUUGGUUAAUUGUCAAAACUUUACAUGUGCCACAUAAAUUGGGACAUGGACAGUCACACAUAUUUUUUUAAAAAAAUUACAUUAAAAGUAUUCUAUCAAUUAACAACAUAUAUUGUUUGAAAUUGACGAAAAAGAAACAAUAAAUUACAAUAAUUAAUAAUAAAAAAAAGGCCUACUCCAAAAAAUCUAUCAAUUAACAACAUAUAUUGUUUGAAAUUGACGAAAAAGAAACAAUAAAUUACAAUAAUUAAUAAUAAAAAAAAGGCCUACUCCAAAAAAUCUAUCAAUUAACAACAUAUAUUGUUUGAAAUUGACGAAAAAGAAACAAUAAAUUACAAUAAUUAAUAAUAAAAAAAAGGCCUACUCCAAAAAAUCUAUCAAUUAACAACAUAUAUUGUUUGAAAUUGACGAAAAAGAAACAAUAAAUUACAAUAAUUAAUAAUAAAAAAAAGGCCUACUCCAAAAAAUCUAUCAAUUAACAACAUAUAUUGUUUGAAAUUGACGAAAAAGAAACAAUAAAUUACAAUAAUUAAUAAUAAAAAAAAGGCCUACUCCAAAAAAUCUAUCAAUUAACAACAUAUACAAUAAAUUACAAUAAUUAAUAAAAAAAAAUAGUUGACGAAAUUGACGAAAAACAAAUUAUAAAUUACAAUAAUUAACAAAAUAAAUCUCUCGACUCCAACAAAUCUAUCAAUUAAUGCCACAUAAAUUGGGACAUGGCAAAUAACAUAUAUUAUUAAAAAAAUAUUUAAAUAAUUAAGCUGUUAAUUAUUGUAAUGUAUAGUAUUACUUAUAUUAUUUGUAAAUAUAUUUAAAUAUUAUAUGUUAGGUUUUUUAUCCUAAUUUAUAUGGCAUUGAUAGAAUUUAAAGUGUCAAAUAAUUGUUAAUUAUUGUAAUAGAUAAUAUGGAGUAUUUAAGUCAUUUAUAGUAUAGUAAUUAAUAUAUAAUAUGUAGUAUUUAAGUGUUAUAUUAUGGAAUUUGAGAAGUUAUUGAAAUUUUUAUAUGAUUUUAAAAAUAUUUUAAAUUCAUAACUAUAUAUUUCAAUGUACAAGAUUUUGAUAAAAUAAAAUCUUUAAAGUUAAAUUAUAAUGUUUUUGAAAUUUAAAUUAUUAAAACAUAUAUAAUGAUUUUAUAGGAAAAAAUAAUAUCAUAUAAAAUUAAAUGAAAAGGAUAAUAAAUUCAACUUUUACCAUGAUAAGGUUGAAAAAUAUUAUUUAAGUGGAAGGAGGUGGGGCCCACUUGUAUAUUUUAUAUAGUAAGUAUUGGACAUUUGUAAUGAUUUAAUUGGAACAAUGGUAGUAAAUCCUAGACUCUUCUAAUAUAUAGUAAUUAUAAUACCGUGGUUUGCUAGAAUUCAAGGUUAGAGGUGGAUUCAUUGAACAAUUUACUAUAUUUUGAGAAUAUAGUAACUUUUGCUUUGGUUAUCUUCACUAUUUUGUUGUUGGUACUUCAUUUCUUCAAUAUUGCAUUUUUUCCAAACUUGUUUUGAAAAACAAUUUUCUUGUGUUGGGAUCUAUCUUUAAUAUUAUAAUUCCAUGUUUUCAUCAUAUGAGUUCUUGUUCUGAUUGUCUUUCUUGUUUCCAAAUUCGAACACAUUUCAGAAAAGAAAAUGGAUCUUGAGAAGAAGAUUUGGGCUGCAUUCGCGGUGCUUUUCUUGACUGUGGGUAUAGCUGCUCUUGGCCACACAGCGUGGCUUGUUUGCGCAGUUAUCGCAAUACUACUGGGUGUACUGUUUGUAGUCCAUGGUUUUCUUCGGCUACUGAACAUUGGCCUUCCCCCUGAUGCUGAUGCUAUUGAUUUUCCAGGAAUGGUGGCCUUCUUUAUCUUCACACCCCCGCUCUUGAUCCUGCAGAAAAACAACCCUCACGUUCAUGUAACUUUGUUCCUCUUAAUGUCUACUGCGAGUUAUUUCUGUGUGCUGAUGAUGGUUAGGCCGCUGGCUACUGAUUUUGGGCUACUCCAUGGACUCACUGUUUUUCUUGCCAAUGAAGAGUUUGGGACUCAAUGGCCAUAUUGGCUAGCUUCCGGCCUUUGCACUUUGAUGAUAAUUCUUCGAGUGAUCAUGGAGAUGCGGGCUAGACGAGAUUAGUAGGAGUAUGAAUUAGAAUUAUGACUUACUAACGAUACAAAAUUGGAGAAAUCCUACCACUUCUCUACAUGCUAUGAAAUAGCUUCAAAAAGUGUUUUUACAUCAUUUAUAUAUGCAACUUACUUCUUCCAACUUAUCCAUUGUAGCAAUUAGAAAAUCAAUUCCCAGUUCUCUUUCUUUGUUAAGGGAUUACAGAUCCAUAACUUCUCUGACAUAUAACAUUUCAGCAUGAACAGAAAAUUAGUGAAAUAUAACACAGUUUUACUUACAUAGGAUGUCGAAUCAAUGCUUUGCUACUUUUUAGUAGGGGUGGGUGUUCAGGUUUUUGAUUUUUGGUUAUAGUAAAGGGUGUAUCAAACAUCGAAUUGAAUUAGUUUGUGACCAACUCUCAUAAUCAUAUCAGAGUUAUUUACUGUCCAAUGUGCUUACCAACAACAAUAUAUCAGUGAAAUACCACAAGUAAGAUAUAGGGAUGGUUACACAGACCUUACCACUACCUCUUGAAGCACUGUCCAAAGUGCUUAAAUGUUAGAAAUCCAAUAACAGCAUGAUACCAUACGUAGACUACCUUAAAUGUUCAUUCUUCAACACUGUCUUGUGAGUGUUGAAAUUAAUUAGUAUUCCCCAUGAUUGUACUUGUCCUUAUAAAAAAUAAUACAUAUGAUAUAGUAAAAUAAUUGUCAUUUAAAAAAGUUGAGGUAUAAUUAAUUGUUUCUAUAUUUAUCUUUGCUCAUAAAUAUGAAGAGAUAUUAAUGUAAUACCAACAAGGGAAGUGUCAAAUUGAACGGAGCGAUAAAUUAAUCAAAUUACCUUCUAGUUAGUGCUUUGUUUAGGAGUAUGAAAAAUAAAACAUGAUAAAUAAAAUGAACCAAAGAGAGUACACGAUUAUAUAAGUCAACUAUAAUUUGAAUACUUGAUUGAUGGAAAGAAAUGAAAAGGUACCAUUGCUGUAUUAUUUGAAAUAUCGUGAUUUUACUCUAAUUAUAUUCUUUAAUUCUCUAUGUAUCAUAAUUUUUUUCAUUUGAAAAAUCAUUUUUAUAAAAUUGAAUCGAAUGAAUUUGAUUCUUUUUUGUAAUCGAAAAUCAAUCAAUGGAACCAAAGUUUUAAAAAAUUACGUCCACCCCUACCUAAAACAUUGGCAGAAAAAAAUGGAUAAGAAAUAGAAUCAUAAAAUGGAAAGCAGAAACACGGGAAAAAAAAAAAGAAAAAGAGACGAGCUAUUUCUGUUGUGCCGUUUUACGUACUAUAAAACCUCUGCAAAACCCCUCUUUUCUCUGCUCACUAAAACAGUUUCCCCUGAAAAUUGCUCGAGCAGAGAAGAAGAAGAAGAGUUCUUGAAGGUCCAUUUUCUCUGCCUUUUAUGUGUAUUUUUUGCUUUAAACUUUAGUCAACUUCAUGCUAGUUUUCUUGGGAAUGAGAUAUGUUAAUACUUUUCUUGUUCACCUUCAUCGAUUUUAGCUUUUCCUUCUUUACGGAAUUCACUUAGUCGGAUACCAUUUUGUUAGUUUAGAAGUAGUAUGUAUCUAUAAUUCUAUAUUAGUUUUGAUUUUUGUUGUUCUUACUUCUUAGCUUGUUUUGAUGUAGAAAAAAAAAUAUACGUAUCAGAAAGGAAAACCCCCAAAUUCUAAAAUCCUUAAACCCCAUUCUGCUGUAGCCAAACCCAAAUGUUUGGUGAAAAUUUUGGCCAUUAUUGUGGUGCUUAUACUGUUGUUGUAAAUUGAUUUAUCUCCAUCCUUUUACAUGAGUCUCUGUUAAGUCACACUGAAUUUCGGAAGGCUUGAAAUAAUCAGGGCACGGCUCUUUUGGUAUACUGUAUAAGUAUAAUAAUAGUAUAUAGAAUAGCAUGCAUUAGCCAUAUUGGGAUUAGUAAUACUAUUUUUUAUCUGGUGUUCGGUUUGGUGUAUUCAGGGCAGUUGUGUUUAACCAUGCAUAUUAUUCAUGUAUUAAUAACACCGUGGUUUGCUUGAAUUCAAGGAUAGAGGUGGAUUCAUUGAACAAGUUACUAUAUAUCUAACAUUUGUGUUGCCAUCACCUUAUUAAAGAGGCAUUUUGGUGGCUAGAAAGAAAAUAAUGUAACAUGAACUGGAAUGAAAAGAGUAUUGAAUUAAUGCCCAUGGUAUAAAGAAUCUUCUGCUAGAUAGAGUUUAAUCUUCCCAUGGUUUGAAAUUUUAGCUUUCUGUAGUUUUUUUUUGGUUUCAAGUGUAAGCUAGUAGGAGUAGUAAUUAGCUCCACUUUUACUUUGGUUAUCUUCACUAUUUUGUAGGUAGUACUUCAUUUCUUCAAUAUUUUCAUCACAGCUUUUCAAACUUGUUCUGAAAAAUGAGUUUCUUGAGUCGAGGGUGUAUCUUUAACCACCUCUUUACCCCACAAAGGUAGGGGUAAGGUCUGACUCCACUGGUCUGUUAUUGUUGUUGUAGUAAUUAGCUGAAUUUCAAUAUCAUAAUCCAUGUUUUCAUCAUAUGAGUUCUUGUUCUGAUUGUCUUUCUUGUUUCCAAAUUCGAACGCAUUUCAGAAAAGAAAAUGGAUCUUGAGAAGAAGAUUUGGGCUGCAUCCGCGGUGCUUUUCUUGACUGUGGGUAUAGCUGCUCUUGGCCACACAGCGUAGCUUGUUUGCACAGUUGUCGCUAUACUACUGGGCGGACUGUUUGUAGUCCAUGGUUUUCUUCCGGUACUGAACAUUGGCCCUCCCACUGAUGCUGAUGAUCUUGAUAUUCCAGGAAUGGUGGCCUUCUUCAUCUUCACACACCCACUCUCGAUCCUGCAGAAAAACAACCCUCAUGUUGAUGUACCUUUGUUCGUCUUAAUGUCUACUGCAAGUUAUUUCUGUGUACUCAUGAUGGUUAGGCCGCUGGCUACUGAUUUUGGGAUACUCCAUGGACUCUGUGACACGACUGUUUUUCUUGCCAAAGAGUUUGGGACUGGCCGGCAAACUUGGCUAGCUUUUGGCCUUUGCACUUUGAUGAUAUUUCUUCGACUGAUCAUGGAGAGGCGGGCUGUGGUCCAUGUUGCUGCUAGACGAGAUUAGUUGGAGUUCCUGAGUAGGGAAAAAAGAACCCCUAGGCCACUAAAGCCAUCACUUGGGGCCCCAUAUUUUUUGGGGCCCCCAUUUUUAAAAAACAAUUACUUAUAUAUAUUAUUUUUUAAAAAAUAAAUUAUAUGUACUAUGAGUGCUAUGAUUUCUACUAAAGAAAUUGCAUAUGACAUGAAUAUAAAUAUAAUUUUCGUAAGAAACAAUUUGAUGAAAAUAUGGAUAACGAAAUCACUAAGUCCCUCGAAGAAUCUUUAGAGUUGAUUAUGUUAUAUAUGUAGAGUAGAUCAAACUAUUUUUCACUUUAAAAUAGAUUUGAACCAAUUGAAGCAUAUAAAAAUAUUUUUGAUUUCUUAUUUAGUGGUAAAAUAUUGAGAUUACUAGAUGAUGAAUUUUUUUUAAAAUAUUUUCUUAACCUUGAACUUUCUUUAACACAUAUUAGUUAUUCUGAAUUGAUGGUUUAGAUUUAUUUUUUGAAGUAAAAGUGUUAAAGACAAACAAUACAAUUAGAAGAUAAUGAUAUAAUGAAAAUACUCAAUCAAAUAAAAGAUUUUGAAUUCUUUUCCAAAUACACAUAUUGUGUUAACAGUUCAUAACCAUUGCCUCAACCAAAUUUUUUCUCGUUCGAAAUUAAAAUUGAUUUAAAAUCUUCUUUAAAGAUCAAUAAUGUCUCAAGAUAGAUUGAAUGAAUUAGCUAUAUUAUCAUUUGAAAAGGAAUUAUUCAAAUAAAUUGAUUAUAAAACAAUACUUAAUGACUUUGCAUCUGAAAUAGCUAGAAAAGUAUAUUUUAAAUAAAAGUACAUAUGAUGGAAAAAAAUUUAGGGCCCCUCUCUUAAAUUUCGCUUUAGGCCCCCAAUGUUGUUGAGUCGGCCCUGUUCCUGAGUUGAGACCGAUCAUUCAAAUAGAUGGGGGUAAACUAAUGAGUAUUACUAACGAUCCAAAAUUGUAGAAACCCUACCACUGCUACAUGCUAUGAAAUAGCUCAAAAAGUGUUUUACGUCAUAUAUGUAACUUACUUCUUCCAAACUAUCCAUUGUAACAAUUACAAAAUCCGUUUCUUUGUUAAGGGAUUAGAGAUCCAUAACCUCCGUGAUAUAUACUACAUUUCAGCAUAAACAGAAAUUUAUUGAAAUAUAAUAUGAUUAUACAUAUUGCAGAUUAGGAUGUUGAAUCAAUGCUUUGCUACCUUUUUAGUAGGGGUGGGUAUUCAAUUUUUUCGUUUUUCGGUUAUGGCAAAGGUGUAUUGAACGUGAAUCGAAUAGUUAGUUGGUUCCAAGUUUGAUUCAGAUUUUGUUGGUAUGAGUUUGAAUAAAUGUCUGAUUAAAAAUGGACUAUUUUAUGUCGGACAGUGUGUUAUACAGUUGAGUAAACUUGCUGAGCUGGGGAGUUUCUGGAUCCUAAACUAUCUGAAAGACAUAGGCUUUUUUCUUUUGUAUAAUCUGAUUAGAGUGUAUUGGAGGAAUGUGAAGAAUAGCGCGAGGAAUAGAAGAGAGGAAAAGGAGGUGAGGAUUGGGGGUAAUGGGGAUAGUUGUGUGGAGAAACUGAAGAGUUGUAUACUUUUUCCCGCUGUCUAAAACGGAGCUAUGGAUGAUAAGGGCUACAACAAUGGUGUUGUUGUGGAUCUUGCUUGGUCAUACACUACAUAUACACUCUGUUACAUAUCCUUCUGUAUGUAUUUUAACUUAUAACCUCCUAUAUCGGGCUGAUAAUAUAAUACAGAAUACAUAAAGAUUUCCAUAGCUGCUAAAAUUUCAUAAUCUUGAAAUGCUAUACAAAUUUAAUUGGUGGUGAAAGGUUACAUUUCCAUAAUGAUAUUAAGGUAAUCCACAUACUCACUUAGAAAUGAGAUGGAACAAAUCAUAAGUCAGUUAAAUAAUCUAAUGGCGUAUAAGGAACCGCAGAUAUAAUUGGCCCUUUCUGACUUUCUCUCAUAAUCAGAUCACAGUUAUUUACUGUCCAAUGUGCUUACUACAACAACAUUCCAGUGAAAUACCACAAGUGAGAUAUGGGGAUGGUAUGCAAACCUUACCACUACCUUGAAGCACUAUCUAAUGUGUUUAAAUAUUAGAAAUCCAAUAACAGCAUAAUACCAUACAUAGACUACCUUAAAUGUUCAUUCUUCAAAAAGUAAGUUGCAGGAACCCCCCCCCCCCCCAUUUAUUCUAAUGCACUACAUAUGGGUCGCUGGAUUGGACAGAGAUCAUUAAAAUUGCCUGUAAUUUUAUUUUACAACAUCUUCCAUGAAAUUAUCACAAUUUGCAGGACUCUUGACUGCAGAAAUAAUGUAUUUGAACACUGUUAUUCUUAUGCAUGUCGCGUGUGUGUAUGCAAUACUGGUUAUAGCAUGAAAGAAGUAAAGGUAAUGUGUAACAAUUACAACAAAAAGGAAAAGAAAAAGACGUUGCUGGAUGAGAGGUAUCAUCUAUAUUAGUGGGUAGGUUUGGUUUGCCUAAAGAUUGGCAACAGAGGAGGCGGAUUUUAUCUUCACGAUUGGCAGUUUGACUCUAGAUUUUUCACCAGAAAAGCAGGAACAAAUAGCAAAACUUGGACUAGCAAUUUGCCUUUUCACUUUUUCUUCCAUGAAUUGAUCUACAUUCUAGUGUGCUUUUCUCCAGCAAAUUCAACUUCUUCAAUUACUAUCACUUGCUUCUGUAGGAAUCAGUUUAUGUCGACAACCUGCUAAAGUGAAAAAAUGGAGCCAUAAACAUGUCUACAACAAAUUGGAUAUAGUGAUACUUUUCAGCAAAGGCAAAGGGUGGAAGAGAGAAGAUAUCAAGCUAGAGCAAUAUCCUAAUUAGGUAGAAAACACAGUUGCAAGAAGGAAUAGAUCAAUUCAGAAAAGUCAUGAUCUUGAUGCAAAUAUAUACUUGGCAACAUAGCAGCAGGAGAACACAAAAUAUACCUCAAUGAAGCGAAAAUUGGACGGACUCGUUCAAAUAUCUCUUCCUGAGUUCCAGUACCAUCGACCUGCAAGAAUUUAUUGAUGAAUAAAAACUGCUACACCAAUAAGUAGCUUGGUUCCAGCUGAGCAGGAUAAGUCAACAAAAACCACUGACAAAUUCAUUGCACCUUUUUUUAACAUGAAAGGGAAACGAGGGGAGAAUAAAAAAGCCCGUUGAGCAGAAAUUGGACAGUUUUGAACUACUUGUCACCCUUGGAGAAAGUACCUUGUAAAGCUUUCCUUUCUUGGCAUAGUGGUUUGCUACUGGAAGAGUUAUAGCUUUAUAUACUUUUAGGCGCUCCUUGACUGUAUGUUCAUUAUCAUCAACUCGCCCCUGAAAACAAAAUGUUAUGUUAUCUUUUUCCUCUUCAGAACGAAACUAAAACAUAAAAGCAUAUGGCAUUCACUUUUUCUUUUAAUAAGUAUUAACAUCACCUCAUUCCGGUUCAAUACUCGUUUGACCAUUACUUCUUCAGGGCAAUCAAAGAAAAGCACAAAGUUCGGUUCAGCACCAAUCUGCAUUCACAUCUGAACUUCAAAAUCUUAACAAUCAACCACAGGAUCACUGCAUUCACAGUGCAGUGGGUAAACUAGCAAAAGUUCCUUUUAAACAACUAAACAUUCCUAGAGAAUAACUUAAUAGAUAAUGCUCAUUACAAUAAGAAAAGAGAAGCAUCUAAUUAAAGAAACUUACAAUCCUCUCAUACGCCACUCUAUUCUCUUCACUUCUUGGGAAACCAUCUAUUAGAAACUUACGAUUUUCAGCUGAUUCAAUUGCCUUCUUAAUCAGCUUGACAGUCACCUCUGAUGGAGCAAUACUUCCUUCCUUCAUUAACUUUUGAAUCAUGGCACUGAAUUUAGACUGAACGAUAUUACAAAUUUUUUCGGGAAAUGAACUAAAAAUCCACAAUGAGAAACAUGGAGUUCAUACCCAUUCUCAGAGUCAGAAUGUAUCUCUUUCCUCAAUAGAUCUCCUGCACCUAUGUGAUCGAACCCAAAAGUUUCAGCAAUCUUCAGGCAUUGAGUGCCUUUACCACUACCAGGACCUCCUAAAAGGACAGCAAAAACUGCUCAGUAAUUCUAUAUUUUACCCAAAUAAUCUAGUAAAAUAGUCAUUUUGUCUAUUCUCAUGUAUAAUCAUGUGAUUUUAGCUGAAAACUGUUCAUUAAGAAGGAAAGAAUCAACUAAUUCCCUCAUAGUUAUUAAACAAACUGAUAUUAUAGGUUGUCUGCAAAGGAACCUAUGUUUAUUCACUUUCAACUACAAACUAGCAAAGAAUGAGAUGAAGGCAGACUCUUUAGCAAACUUGACAAAUUUCUGAUCACACAAGCAUGUGCAAGAUUGACAAAAUGUCGCAACAUUAAGGAUUAAAAACUGGUUUAAACCAAAAAAGUGAUAUGAGCAUAGGUAGCUCAACAACAGACAUAAUAAGCAAUAUGACAUGUUACUUCUAGACAUAUUCUCUUCAUUCCAACAAGAGUGACCUAAUCAAUAUCAUGAAGAAGUCCACCUCGCCACAAGGAAAUCUUUUGUACCUCAUUAUCUUUUGCUUAAUGUUAUACAUAAUUAAAUAAGAAUUAGUUGAGAAUCAUGAGGUCUCAAAGUCAAAUUCUGCAAAGACAAAAAACAGUAGAUAAUUUCUUGUCAUCUGUCCUAGCCUUGGUAGACAGAAUUACUUGGUACCUACUCUGGUACCUUUUGUGCUAGGAGGUGGCAGGAAUUCCAUGGAAUUAGUAGAGGUGCACAAAAGCAAAUUACAUGGAAUUAGUUGAGGUGCACAACAAUGACCCGAACACCACGAUUAUCAAAAAUAAAAACCAGUGUCAAAAUUCUCAAAAAAAAAAAAAAAAAUGUAUUGUUACAUCCCCUCUCACCCUGCCCCGGACCAAAACCCCCCGGAAAAACAGCAGAAAAAUAAAAUAUUUCAACAAACAACAACAAAAGAGUAGCACAGUCUACUUAAGAGGUUGGAGUGAUAUCUAUCUCAGAUGAGCUACAAUCAGGAUAGAUUUAACUGAGAUCACAUGAGAGAUAAAUUAAUCAAAUUUUCAAAGAGAUAAAGGAGAUUAGCUUUUAGUGUCCGAAUAGUGCACAGUUAUUAAUGGACUAAAAUGUGAAAUUAAUUACCCAAUACAAAAGCGACAAAAGGGAUAUUUCUUCUGGAAUUACUUUCACCUUCUACCUACAUGCAUUCAAAGGGAGAAGAACAGUAGUCAAUAAUAUUUUGUAGAAAAAAAAACAUUUCAGUGAUGAUUAAAAAACAAAUAGAAGAUAUUGAGAGAGAGAGAAAAUGAAUAACCGGCGGUUUGACAAUUUCAGUACAAAAUGCUUGACAAAUCUUCAGCUCAUCAGCUCUUCUCACCUAGAGUAAUUGAGAACAAUAUUGAGAGAUUUGCAGCAGCAAAACCAAAGAGAUUUGAUCAAUUUGUGAAGUAAAAUUACCUGUUGAAGAUGCGAAAAGAAUAGAGGUAGUGAAGUGAAACGCCUCCACAUCUUUGAUCGGUGUUCCGUUUUCUGGAUUUGGGUUUCAAUGGCGAAAGAGCGUUUAUAUUAAAGCACGUCGAGUGAGUAUAAAAGCGUGAGUCCCAUAAACAAUACCUGUCUGCACGUUCACUCGCAUAAACGCUGCAACACUUUCCGGGCCGAUUAGUUCCUUAUAGAUCGGGUUUGGGUCUUUCCACUUGCCCCUUCUUCAGUUAGAUAUUUGAGUGGAAUUUAGGCUAGGCCCCCGUUCCGUCUCAUUUUAUAUGAUUAUAUAAUUUGAUAUCAUUAAGGAUUAAAUGAGAACUUUAAAAUUGAAGAAUACUUAAAAUUUUGAGAUAAAUAUCAAAAACACAUUUAAACUAUCUCAUUUUUUUGAGUUUCAUACUUAAACUAUUGAGAGUGUGAAUUUCAUACCUAAAUUAUCACUUAUUAGUUUGAGAAACACACCUCAGUAGUGUGUGUGUUACACUCUCUUUUAUUUAGAAAAAAUCUUGACACAUGGCAUUCCACAUGAAUAAAAUAUUUCACUUGACAAAAAUUAAAUAAUAAAAUAUUAAUAUUAAUUAAACAUUAAAGAUUAAAUUAUUAGUAUCCCCAAAAAAAUAUUUUUAAAAAAUAAAAUUUAAAUUAUUUUUCUUACCCCACACCAACUCCUCCUCCCNNNNNNNNNNNNNNNNNNNNNNNNNCCCCAAAUAUAUAUAUAUAUUUAUUUUUUAUUUUUUAUUUUUUAUUUUUUAUUAUUAUUAUUAUUUAUUUAUUUUAUUUUAUUUUUUCAAAAAAAAAAAAAAUCCCGUUUUGUGUUAGAUAUGUACAUAUAAUUUUAGGAAUUUUUUUUUACUUGUGUACCGAAUAUAACAUAAAUAAAAAAAAGUAUUGCGGCAGCAAGUAAAAAAUAUUUUUGAUAUGUAUAUAUCUAACACAAAACGAGAAAAAGAAUUGAAAGCGGAGGGUUAGGUGGAGUGAGUAGAAUUAUUUUUCCAAAAAAAAUUUAAAAAAUUGGGAUGGGUGGGUGUACGGUGAGAGGACGUGAUGGAGUGGGGUAAGAGAUAAUUUUACAUUUUAUUUUAUAAAAAAAUAUUUUUUUGGGAUAAUAAUUUUUUCAUCUUUAAUUUUAACUAAUACUAAUUAAAUAUUUAAUUUUUUCUUGGAGUGUGAUGUGAUAAAUUUUUUUAAAUAAAAGAGAGAGUGUAUUACACUCACCAUGAUGAGAGUGUUAUAAAAGAGAGAUGUGUUUCUCAAACUAAUAAGUGAUAGUUUAUGUGUGAAACUCACACUCUCAAUAAUUUAGGUAUGAAACUCAAAAAAAAGGAAUAGUUUAUGUGUGUUUUUAACAGUUAUCUCUAAAAAUUUUGUAAAUAUUAUUUCUAAUAUGAAUAUAGAAGAUGGACUAAUCGGUUAAUUAGUGUUUGAACAAUAUUUGAUUGAAAUUGUGUGUGAUAUAAAUUGCAUUUGGAAAAAAAAAUAGAUCUUUUUGGAUAAAAAAAAAUAUCUAUUUAAUAAAUAAAUACUCCAAUUUACUUAUUUCAAGAUUUCUCUAUUUCAAAGUUUUAAGUUGGUAUCGAGCUUUGUUUAAUUCAAGAUUAUUCUUUUUCCGUGUAAUUUAUUUAUGAAUUAUUAAUAAUUUUUCUUUAAAAAGAGCAAAACCAUAUGUUAAUUUAUGCUAAUUUUUAUUGUGAAAGUUAAAUUUCCUAAAUUUCCGACCAAACCUUGUAUGGUAUAAAUUUAUACCCUCUCCAAGAACAAAACAAAAACACCCCUAAAUCACACUUUACGUAACUACUUGAUAAAUCAUACUUUACGUAAAUGAGCACCUUUGUUUUCCAUUUUCGUUCUAGAUUAGGGUUGUUCAAAUUCAAAUAGAAUUUGAUAAUUCAAAUUGAAAAAAAAAUACUAUUAAUUAGUUCAAUGAUUUGAUAAAGAUUUUAAUUUUUUUAUUGAUUUAUAAGUUUCGUAAAGAUUUAGAUUUUCUCUUUACGAAUUAAUCAAUAAUUCAAUAAUAGCUAAGAAUAAAUCUGGUUCGUCCAUUAUAUUUUACUACUUUGGGUUGUGCAAAUAAUACAAAAUCAAUUAAUUCCCUUUGUAUCAAAUGUUCUGCUAGUUAUUUUCUACUUGCAAUUAAUCCGUCAUAAUAUCGUGUGCACUGUGUUGUUAAUACUUAUUCUAAAUUAGUAAAGAGUUAAUAUCUCAAAAAGUUACUCAAUUUUGAGAAAUUAUUUAGCAAAGUCAUUAAACUUUGUUUUAUAUUAAUAAAAUCACUCAACUUAGAACUUAGUAUCAAUAAAAUCACUCAACUAAAUUUAUUAUUAAUAUUUUUAUGUCAUAUUCAUUAUUAAAAUAAUAAUAAACAAAUAUUUCAAAAUUAAUACUUCAUUAUAAUUAAUUUAAAAAAGUACCCAAAAAGAAUAAUAAUUUAUCUAAAUAAUUUUAUUUAUGUAAAAAAAAAUCCUAUUAUCUAUGUAAAUCAAAUACUGUAAUUUGUUAUCAUUUUUAAGAAGGAAAAAUUAGGAGUAGUUAAAUUACUAAAGAAUAAUUCAUCAAUGUGCGGACUUUCUGUAAUAAUCCAUUUUUGUUGGAUGGAUUUGUUGUAAUUAGAGUCCGUAACAAUAAGUUGGAUUACGACUCUGAUUUUACGUUUUGUAAGGUAAAAGCAAGGGCUUAAUUUGUUUUUAAUUAUUAUUUUUUAUCUUUAAAAGUGAAAUUAGCAUGAUAUAAAAAAUAAUUUUGCCAUGUCAAAUUUAUUUUAAUAAUAAAUUUAGUUGGAUCUCAUAUAGCCUGAGAUAUGUAGGAAACCUGUUUCCGAGGUUCGGACAUAAUUCCUAAAGCUUGUACCAAAAUACCCGUUGAGUGAUUUUAUUGAUACAAAAUAAAAUUUAGUGAAUUUAGCACAUAAUUUUUCAAAGUUGAAUGACCUUUUGAGAAAUUAACUUGUUGACACCCAAUUUUGACCCUCCACAAUAUAAAUUAAUCAUCUUGAGCUUCUCCAAUUUCAAACGAUUUAAAAAUAAUUAGUUUUAUAAAAUUUCCAUAAAAUAAUAAUAUAGUUUGCAAGACUUUCAAUAGUUUUGCCACAUUUUAUAAUUGUUAGAUAAUGUAUAUGUUUUACAUAAAUAUGUAUAUAAUUAUUAUAUUUUAUGAUUAUUCGAAAAUGGUCUCAAAAAGAUUUUAGUUUUAGUUAAAUAUUUGGUUAAUUAGUUUAGUUAUAUAAUAGUUUAUAUUUUUAAUUAGUUUAUAAUUAAGUUAAUUAUUUUUUACUUCGUUAAGAUUAAGAAGCUCAUUAAUUAAUUUAUAUUAACUCAUCUUGUUUAAAUUUUAAUCAAAUUCACCGAUUAAAUUCAAUUGGCUAUAAUUUUAAUCAAAUGAGUUAAAUUGUCAAUUCAAAUUUAACCUCCCCCUUACUUCACACUAAUCCAUUUGUGAUAAACUGACCUGGGCCCUAUUUGUAAAUUCUGGCGGCCCAUCUCAUUUUGUCCAAUUCCCAUUCCAUUACUUUCAGCAACCCAAGCCCAUUCCAACAUAAAUCCAGCCCACCCAAGAUAUUCCCAGCCCAUCCAUACAUACAACAAUACAAUAAUACACUCCCAAACAGCAAAAACCUCUUCCAGCCACCUCAAACCCGUCUAAUUCAAUACCCAUUUUCCUCAUACCCAUUUUCCUCAUACAUUCCAGCAGCCCAUCUCAUUUUUAUUUUUCAAAUUCCAUUCUUCCAAUCCAAUUCAAAUUAAUUCCCAGCUGACCCAACCCUUUUCCCCUCAGACCCGGCCCAAUCCAAUUCAAAGUAAACCCAGCAAAUGUUAACCUUCAGAAAGCAGCGUGCAAAACCAGAAGACCCCACCCCUGUUACUCUUCUUCUUCGCAGAACUCGAAGCCAGACGAAAUCCCAGCGAAAAUCGCGCUGCAAACUUGAAAAUCUCAUCCAAACCCAUACCCUGGCAUCCCCAAUGUCAAACCUUCGUCAUCCUGCUUUCCCCCUUUUUCAGGGAUUUUUGAAUAUCUUCCACUGUUGCCUUGAAAGAAAAAAGGCAAAGAAAAUCGAAUUUAAAAUUCAAAAAUCCACCAAAUUCUCCUCCAAAAUCACCCAUCUCUCCCUAUAAAUAGUUAUCCAUGCUCCAGGGAUGAGAGGGGUUUUUUUUUUGGGGCUUGAUCUUUGAGCAAAUAGACAUUUUAAAGAAUUUGAUAUCUAGCUUUUGAUUCUAAGUCCCGAGAAGAUCGACGCUCGGAUUUUCUUAGCUUACUGUUCGUAUUUGGAUUUCAUAGUAGAAGGGUCGUUGUUCUCAACUCGUUUGUCGUAGUUUCGCUGCCCGGAGAAAGGUAAUACUCUUCCCUUUACAAUAUUCCUUUCGUCUCCGCUAUUUUUACAUGGCGUUAUUCGACAAAAUUAUGUUUUCGUCGUUCGAGCUCUUGGUGUCUUAAUGCUGUUUCUCUUCUUGAAUGAUAUAAGAUUCAAAAUGACCUUUGUCUGCUUAGUUACUCUUUCACCCAUGUUUGUAUGUCCAAGCUUGCUUGCUUUUGUUAUUCUGCAUCUUUGAAUAGAUAUGUGAAUGUUGUGAGCAUACUGCUGUUGACGUUAGUCUAGUCGAGUCAGUUUGGUUCAGGCUGAUGUUAGUCUAGUCGAAUUAAUCUAUGAUCAAAAAAAAUAUGUUUCUCUUAUUUUCUUGGCCUUCGCGGAUGUGUCGUGUUAAUCCUCGAGUUACUUUAUGUUCGAAUUACAAUAACGUGGUGUGUUCUUUCAAGUCAUAUGAGAUGCAUCUUAAUUUGUGAAAGAAAAUCAACAUGACCCGAUUAUUUGAUUCCCGCAAUAAGCUCUGUAACUAUUGAAAUACCUUCUCUUUUUUUUUAUCGACUUAGAGCAUUGAGAAUUCUUACAUUAUGAACAUAAUAUUUGUUUUCCUCUCCAGAUUGGGAUCUAUUUGAGAGACAUUGGCUCAAUCUUCUUUCUUUCUCUAUUUUGUUGCUUAUGGCCGAAAUAGUUUAUAUAUAGUGAUAGUAUUUUUCAUUGUUUGGAAUGGUAUCUCACUGGACAUAUGUUGCUGGUUUAAGUUUGUUUUAACACUAGUAAUGACCAUUAGUCUUACUGCUGGCAUUUAUCACUUCAUCUUAGUGAAAUUAAUUUUAACUAUUAGUAUUCACGUUUGCCUUAGAAUUACUAAUUGCUUAUUUAUAAAGAAUGCAUGUGUGUAUCUUGGUGUGAUUGCCGCUUUAAAAUCACGUGCAUUGGCCAUCGUGCUUCACAACCGUUUAAAAUGCUCUUUGCCAUCAAUUGUUUAGAGCUUUGCAUUUGGUUUACAUGCUUAACGAAUAAUUCUUCAUGUCAUGGUGGUAGUCAAGCAUGUGAAGGGUGAGUUUGUUUUAUAUGGCAAAGAAUGAGUAUUAAUGAUAGUAUGUUAGUCACUGUUUUUUUUUCUUUCAAAUUCUAUGCAUUCAUUUUGUAUUUUAUUUUUUUGUAUGCUUCUUUAUAAUUUGUGGUUAGUUGCAUUAUCAUGUAAAUGUGAGUCAACUUGGAUUAAGUCAAGCAAUGUGUUACUUACCUUCUUUUCACGUGUCUUUUAAUUUAGUCGUUGUAUACAUCGCUCUAGUGUUUUGAAUACUAUUUAGUGAUAUAAGGUUACAAGUCUUAACAAUAGUUGUUUUAAGCUAAUCUACCUAGUCUUAAUAAUUAGUUUUGUUUAAUCAUGAUGUGGACUAGUAUAGUAUACAUGUUGUUAGUUAACUUAUUAAUUCAUUAAUUUGGAGUGACUAUCGUACACUCCUAGUUAUUUCUUUAAAGUUGUUGCCCUCCAACGUACCUCUGUAUGAUUCCCUCUAGUGUGACGGUAUGAUAAUUUAUUAGUAUUGUAUGCUAGUUUGUCCCCUUGUAAAUUGGUACGCAUUUUUCAUUAUCUCGAGUUGGUUUAUGUAUUAACCUUUUUCCUUUGCUUCAUUUGCAUGUGAAAACUCCUUUUGAGUCCAUGGUGGACUCUUUCUCCUUUCUUUUUUUUGCAUUUUUAAUUGAGCCACAAGCUCAAUUCUUCUUUAUCGAGUCAACCUCAUCCAUCAUCUAUCAUCGGAGCGAAAGAGAAGCAGAUAAACAGGUCCUUAAAGGCAAAAAUGUUGGCUGGAAAUUGAAAUACAAGCUUCCAAAGGCUCAAAAGUAGGUUGUAUACACUAAGUAUACACUGAUAUACAUUGCGAGGAACAUCGAUCUACAGGUCAAAAACGCAGGAAUACAGGGCUGAUACGAAAUACAAGUGUUCGGAAGCAAGAUAUACAUGAAAGGGGCUGAUAUACAUGCCGAUAUACACUGAUAUACAUCAAGUGUAUACAAAAACGGGAUUGAGUAAAAUUCCCAAAAACAGUAGCGAAUUUGGCCCAAGAAAGGCCCAAAUUCAAUUUCUCCCUUACGCUUCAAUUAUUUAAUUGCGAUUACUCAUUAUUUGUUGUUUAACUCUAACUUUAGAAUUUUUAAUUAACUUAGUUGAAUUCCCCAAAAGAUGAACCAUAUUCCUUAUGUUAGUUUCUUUAAAAAUAAUUCAUUUUAUCAA